rnacentral:rRNA from 1 species
AUGAACGCUGGCGGCGUGCCUAAUACAUGCAAGUCGAGCGAACGGACGAGAAGCUUGCUUCUCUGAUGUUAGCGGCGGACGGGUGAGUAACACGUGGAUAACCUACCUAUAAGACUGGGAUAACUUCGGGAAACCGGAGCUAAUACCGGAUAAUAUUUUGAACCGCAUGGUUCAAAAGUGAAAGACGGUCUUGCUGUCACUUAUAGAUGGAUCCGCGCUGCGUUAGCUAGUUGGUAAGGUAACGGCUUACCAAGGCAACGAUGCAUAGCCGACCUGAGAGGGUGAUCGGCCACACUGGAACUGAGACACGGUCCAGACUCCUACGGGAGGCAGCAGUAGGGAAUCUUCCGCAAUGGGCGAAAGCCUGACGGAGCAACGCCGCGUGAGUGAUGAAGGUCUUCGGAUCGUAAAACUCUGUUAUUAGGGAAGAACAUAUGUGUAAGUAACUGUGCACAUCUUGACGGUACCUAAUCAGAAAGCCACGGCUAACUACGUG